GACGUAGGGCGCGAGCGUUGUCCGGAUUUAUUGGGCGUAAAGAGCCCGUAGGCGGCUUGUCGCGUCGUCCGUGAAAACCCACAGCUCAACUGUGGGCUUGCGGUCGAUACGGGCAGGCUAGAGUUCGGUAGGGGAGACUGGAAUUCCUGGUGUAGCGGUGAAAUGCGCAGAUAUCAGGAGGAACACCGGUGGCGAAGGCGGGUCUCUGGGCCGAUACUGACGCUGAGGAGCGAAAGCGUGGGGAGCGAACAGG
rnacentral:rRNA from 1 species